AGUGAACGCUGGCGGUAGGCCUAACACAUGCAAGUCGAACGGCAGCACAGUAAGAGCUUGCUCUUACGGGUGGCGAGUGGCGGACGGGUGAGGAAUACAUCGGAAUCUACUUUUUCGUGGGGGAUAACGUAGGGAAACUUACGCUAAUACCGCAUACGACCUACGGGUGAAAGCAGGGGAUCUUCGGACCUUGCGCGAUUGAAUGAGCCGAUGUCGGAUUAGCUAGUUGGCGGGGUACAGGCCCACCAAGGCGACGAUCCGUAGCUGGUCUGAGAGGAUGAUCAGCCACACUGGAACUGAGACACGGUCCAGACUCCUACGGGAGGCAGCAGUGGGGAAUAUUGGACAAUGGGCGCAAGCCUGAUCCAGCCAUACCGCGUGGGUGAAGAAGGCCUUCGGGUUGUAAAGCCCUUUUGUUGGGAAAGAAAAGCAGCAGGUUAAUACCCCGCUGUUCUGACGGUACCCAAAGAAUGAGCACCGGCUAACUUCGUG
rnacentral:rRNA from 1 species